rnacentral:snRNA from 1 species
GUGCUUGCUUUGGUAGCACAUAUACUAAAAUUGGAAUGAUACAGAGAAGAUUAGCAUG